AUGUCCUUAGAACCGACCCCCACCCACCCCCUUCCAGCUUUGUCUGUAGCCGUAGACCAAAAUUUGGGAUUCGGCAUUUGCCAAAUAUGCUUAAUUUUUUUUUCUUCUUUCCUCUUUCCCUUUCGGUUUGUUUUGUUUUUUAGAGGAACGGCAAAUGACAAGGCAGAGGGAAGGCUGGCCCAGCCAAUCCCGGAGCCGCUGCAGCGCCGGUUCCCCACAUACAUUGUGGUGCAGGGACAGAGAGGAGGGGGCGGCUGGCCCCCGCGCCUCCCCUGCCCGGGGCCCCCUGGCCGCUCCCCGGGGAGAAGGGCAGCUGGACAGAGGCUGCCUGGGGCCAGGGUGCAAGGGUGCAGCCGCACCUCCCUGCUGCCCGGCGUGGGAAGAAGAACGCGGAGCCAGCUGGAAGGGAGGAGGCUGGCCAGGGGAGGCAGGAGCCGACGACCCAGAAUAGCAAAGAAGACAGAAGCUAAGCACACCCAGAGCUGCUUUUAGCCGGCAAUGGUAAGCCUGGCUCUAGAAGUCUUACUUCUCACCUCCUCUACACACAUUUCCCCCAGAGGCCCCAGGAACAUUUUCUUCUCAUUGAAGAAAAAAGAGAAAAGGUCUUUAUCAAAAAUUCUUUUUAAAUACCUUUCAGUCCAGGGUGAACCCAUACUACGCGGGUUUCCACAAAUGUUCAGACAAGUGCACUGACUUGGAGGAACAUUCAUUUGCUACAGAUUUAUUAAGGAUCUGUUCUGGGUUGGGCAUUGUGCAAAGCUUGGUGGGGAUACAGAUAUCUAGAGGAUUCACAGAAUAGUCUGGAAGGUAUGUGGGCAGUUGAACCAAUUUUAAUAGGACCUGCCCCAGAUCAUUUGAAAAGACCCUGAUGCUGGGAAAGAUCAAAGGCGGGAGGAGAAGGGGACGACAGAGGAUGAGAUGGUUGGAUGGCAUCACUGACUCAGUGGACAUGAGUUUGAGUAAACUCCCGGACUUGGUGACGGGAGGCCUGGCGUGUUGCAGUCCAGGGGGUCACAAAGAGUCAGACACUAGUGAGUGACUGAACUGAACUGCCCCAGAUCAUAAGCUUUAGGCGAGCGCAUUUGUGUCUGUUGCAUUCACUGCAGUGGCCCAGUGUGGGGCACUGCGCUCGGCACUUGGCGGCCGUGCACACCCCUGAAACUGGCUGACCCAUCUGCGCAGGCUCCCACGGCCCUGUAACUGACUCACCCAGCCCUGUUGGUGUCCGUCCUGGAAAGCAGGAGGGACCUGAGGAGGUAAGUGGAGCAACACAGGAGCUCACAGCAGCCCGUGUGACAAACCUGGGCAAAGAUGGAGUCUUUAAUGAUAACCGGACAGACUGGUUGUGUGGGUGCCAUUAAGGAGAAAGGACACAGACGGGUUGACCCUGUUGGGAAGGAGGGACCUUUGACCUUUGGACUGUGAGAAAGGAGGAAAAUGACCUGGGACAAAGAGGUGGGUCACCAUCCCCAUGUGACCGGGUAAAGCCGGGGGGCUAAGGAAGAAAAAAGAACCAGCCGGUGGCAGGGAAGGUAGGAUGGAGUCAGGAGAGGAGAAACCAGAAUGGGAGGGAGCCUGGAGGCAUCGCAGACCCAGGGCGGACACGGAGCCGAAGCAGGUAAGUCCCAGGGGAAGAUGCUGGCAGUGGCCGUCCGAUCUGACCGGCGGGCCUCCUCCCAAUGAUACGACCAUAACCAGAUAUGACCCAGAAUACCACGUUUCUCUGCACUGGGCAGGCACAGGGAAAGUAAGUGCAGUUUGAGGUUAUAGUUACUAUGGAAGUUUUCAUGUAUCUGCGAAGGUAAGGAGAGCAUAAGUGAUUUUGGUGUUCUGUCACUCCAUUUUAUCCUGUAAUCAACACAUGGCCCUGUCUGCUUCAUUUGUACGUUCAUCAACCUUAUCCCUCACUCCCCUUUUGGAAGAUUUUACAGCAGAUCCAAGAUACCACAUUUCAUCCAUAAGUACUGCAUGAUGAAUCUUUUAAAAAGUAUUAUUUUAAAAAACAUAACUCCCGUAGUAUCACUCCCAGCAAAAGCAGUCAUUCUUAACGCCACCGAUUAUCCAUUCAGUUACAUUUCCCUUGCUUGUCUCAGUUUUGGUUUUUUUUUUUUAAACACAGUUGGUAUUUUGUCUGAAUCAAGCUGCACACAAGGUCCCCAUGUUUCAUGUCGUUCACGAUCGAUCUCAGCGUCUCUGUUAGGAAAGAGGAUGCUCUUUCGGGAAAGCUCAGUGCUGUGCAAUUCUGCGGUUCAGAUUUACUUAGCUGCCCUGCCCCAUCUCCAGUCGGCUACCGUUAACAGCUCUCCUGAGUUUUGUGAACCGUUUGGUGAUUUUUGAGCAUCCUUCAUUAUUCCUCUUGUCUUUGUGGUGUAAUGUAACUAGUCAUUUUUUCCUUUCUUUGAUAAGUAUUUCUCGCGAGUCUGCUCGGUGCCAGACACCGUAGCCGGCACGCUGCGGUGAACAGACAGGCCGGCUUUGCUCUCGAGGAGCUUCUAGUCUGACCACGUGGGUGCUGUUGAGGGCCUGCUGGCUGUCCCCGACCCCGUCCAGCCGGCUGAACUGGGUGGCCGCAGGCGUCCCUGCUGGUCCGAGGGAUCCACCGCGUCCCCGGGCUUGGUGUUGGUGCUCUCGUGUGGUCCUCACACGUGGUUGAUCAGUGGUGUCCCCGGGUGUGGCGGCUGCAUCAGGUCCCCGUUCCGUGGCGGUGCCUGGGGAUUCCGACAGUGUCACCAACUGACUCUGCAUGGGUCCGCAAGACGCUGUUGGGCCUGAGCCUUUGUCGCUGAGCCAGUGAAUGCGGAGCGCUGGCUUGGCUGGUGGCUUGUAGAGGGGAGAGUGGAAACAUGUGGAAGGUGCUCGGAGCGGUCAGGGGGCUCAGCACACACUGUGGUGCGGGCCUAUUCCUGGAGCAGGUUGGAUGUUUCUGUGCCUCUGGAUUUCUGGGGACCUUGCGGCUCUGGCCCUUAACAAUUAGGCCACCUGCCUAAUCAGCCCUACUUUCUCGACCUCCUGUUCUCUGUCGAGCAGCCCAGUACUGGGUGGCUAUGUUGUCUCAGUAGCACUGUUCAGGCCUGUCUUGCUAAUAAGACCUUUCACUGAUUUGCAAUUCUCUGUGGACAAAUAAUCAGAUUUUUUGGGACACUGUGACUUUUGAUUUUGAGAAUGGCCCAUGAUUCAUGAUUUAGGCUUCCCUGUUGGCUCAGAGGCUAAAGCGUCUGCCUGCAAUGUGGGAGACCUGGAUUCAAUCCCUGGGUCAGGAAGACCCCCUGGAGAAGGAAAUGGCAACCCACUCCUGUACUCUUGCCUGGAAAAUCCCAUGGACAUAGAAGCCUGGUGGGCUAUAGUCCAUGGGAUCGCAAAGAGCUGGACACGACUGAACGACUUCACUUUCACUUUCAUGAUUCUUGUUGCAGUUUUCAAGUUCAAAUACAGGUAUAUUGCAGUUCCUGAAUUAUAGCAUCUGCGCCUUUAAAAAAAAAUCUUAGUUCAUAAAAUUAAUGUAUUCUCAGAUACAAAGACUUUCACCUUCUCUAGAUCUUUUAUUGUACGCUUAAGAUAAUACCGAUUAUAUGAAUAUGCCAAGAUAUGUAUUUCUGAAGGCUAUCUAGUGUAGCCUUUGGUGAUACGGUUUUAUUUCCUUCUAGUUAAUCUUUAUUUUGAUUGUCCCCUGGUAUUGGUUAAAACUUUUAAGCAAAUUUCCUUAUGUGUUGUGUGUGUGUGCAUGUUUAUAUACAGCAAGGCUGUGCUAAUAAUACAUCAUAAACCUUAUAAAAUAAAAAGUGAAAAUGAUUGGGUGCCUUGUGUUCCCGCGUGAACUACUUACAGUUCUAUCUGAGGGCAGCCGCUCUUCUUUGCUCUGAAUUUCAUCCUGAGACGUAUUCAGGACGCUCUUUCAGCACCUCCGUCUCCUCCUGGCAUCACUGUUUCUCCUCUCUUAACGGGAUCGUUUUGAUAUGCUGCUAUUUUUCCCAUCUU
rnacentral:lncRNA from 1 species